GUGCUUACUUUGACAGCACAUAUACUAUAAUUGAAACAAUACAGAGAAAAUUAGCAUAGCCCUUGCACAAGGAUAACAUGCAAUUUCAUGAAUAAUUCCAUAUUUAA